GACGAACGCUGGCGGCGUGCCUAAUACAUGCAAGUUGAGCGCUGAAGGUUGGUACUUGUACCAACUGGAUGAGCAGCGAACGGGUGAGUAACGCGUGGGGAAUCUGCCUUUGAGCGGGGGACAACAUUUGGAAACGAAUGCUAAUACCGCAUAAAAACUUUAAACACAAGUUUUAAGUUUGAAAGAUGCAAUUGCAUCACUCAAAGAUGAUCCCGCGUUGUAUUAGCUAGUUGGUGAGGUAAAGGCUCACCAAGGCGAUGAUACAUAGCCGACCUGAGAGGGUGAUCGGCCACAAUUGGACUUGGACACGGCCCAAACUCCUACGGGAGGCAGCAGUAGGGGAUCUUCGGCAAUGGACGAAAGUCUGACCGAGCAACGCCGGGGGAGUGAAGAAGGUUUUCGGAUCGUAAAACUCUGUUGGUAGGGAAGAACGUUGGUGAGAGUGGAAAGCUCAUCAAGUGACGGUAACUACCCAGAAAGGGACGGCUAACUACGUG
rnacentral:rRNA from 1 species